UGGGGAAUUUUGCACAAUGGGGGAAACCCUGAUGCAGCGACGCCGCGUGAUUUAGAAGGCCUUCGGGUUGUAAAAAUCUUUUGUAUGGGAAGAAAAUGACAGUACCAUACGAAUAAGGACCGGCUAACUACGUGCCAGCAGCCGCGGUAAUACGUAGGGGGCUAGCGUUGUCCGGAAUCACUGGGCGUAAAGGGUUCGCAGGCGGAAUAACAAGUCAGAUGUGAAAGGCAUGGGCUCAACCCAUGUAAGCAUUUGAAACUGUAAUUCUUGAGAAGUGGAGAGGUAAGUGGAAUUCCUAGUGUAGCGGUGAAAUGCGUAGAUAUUAGGAGGAAUACCUGUGGCGAAGGCGACUUACUGGACACAAAUCUGACGCUGAGGAACGAAAGCGUGGGUAGCAAACAGG
rnacentral:rRNA from 1 species